rnacentral:misc_RNA from 1 species
GAUGAAGAACGUAGUGAAAUGCGAUAAGUAAUGUGAAUUGCAGAAUUCAGUGAAUCAUCGAGUCUUUGAACGCACAUUGCGCCCCCUGGUAUUCCGGGGGGCAUGCCUGUCCGAGCGUCAUUGCUGCCCUCAAGCACGGCUUGUGUGUUGGGCCCCCGUCCCCGGUUUCCCCCGGGGACGGGCCCGAAAGGCAGCGGCGGCACCGCGUCCGGUCCUCGAGCGUAUGGGGCUUUGUCACCCGCUCUGUAGGCCCGGCCGGCGCCAGCCGACACCCAACUUUAUUUCUAAGGUUGACCUCGGAUCAGGUAGGGAUACCCGCUGAACUUAAGCAUAUAAUAAGCGGAGGA